UUUCCGUAGGUGAACCUGCGGAGGGAUCAUUACAGUAGUCGCCCGGGGCGCCGCAAGGCCUCCCGGGUAACCUACCACCCUUUGUUUAUUACACUUUGUUGCUUUGGCAGGCCUGCCCUCGGGCUGCUGGCUCCGGCCGGCGAGCGCUUGCCAGAGGACCUAAACUCUGUUUGUCUAUACUGUCUGAGUACUAUAUAAUAGUUAAAACUUUCAACAACGGAUCUCUUGGUUCUG
rnacentral:misc_RNA from 1 species